GACAGAGGUGGCGAGCGUUGUUCGGAAUCAUUGGGCUUAAAGCGCACGUAGGCGGCCUUGUAAGUGUCCUGUGAAAGCCCUCGGCUCAACCGAGGAACGGCAGGGCAUACUGCCGGGCUUGAGGCAGGUAGGGGCGAGUGGAACUCUUGGUGGAGCGGUGGAAUGCGUAGAUAUCAAGAGGAACGCCGGUGGUGAAGACGACUCGCUGGGCCUGUCCUGACGCUGAGGUGCGAAAGCCAGGGGAG
rnacentral:rRNA from 1 species